GAUGAACGCUGGCGGCGUGCCUAAUACAUGCAAGUCGAGCGAAUGGAUUAAGAGCUUGCUCUUAUGAAGUUAGCGGCGGACGGGUGAGUAACACGUGGGUAACCUGCCCAUAAGACUGGGAUAACUCCGGGAAACCGGGGCUAAUACCGGAUAAUAUUUUGAACUGCAUGGUUCAAAAUUGAAAGGCGGCUUCGGCUGUCACUUAUGGAUGGACCCGCGUCGCAUUAGCUAGUUGGUGAGGUAACGGCUCACCAAGGCAACGAUGCGUAGCCGACCGGGGAGGGUGAUAGGCCACACUGGGACUGAGACACGGCCCAGACUCCUACGGGAGGCAGCAGUAGGGAAUCUUCCGCAAUGGACGAAAGUCUGACGGAGCGACGCCGCGUGAGUGAUGAAGGCUUUCGGGUCGUAAAACUCUGUUGUUAGGGAAGAACAAGUGCUAGUUGAAUAAGCUGGCACCUUGACGGUACCUAACCAGAAAGCCACGGCUAACUACGUGCCAGCAGCCGCCGUAA
rnacentral:rRNA from 1 species